rnacentral:rRNA from 1 species
AAUCUGCCUCAAGGCUGAGUUGUAAUUUGUAGAGGAAACUUUAGAUUUUACCUAUUAAAAAUCUUCUGGAAUGAAGUACUAAAGAGGGUGAAAGUCCCGUAUUAGUAGAAGUAUGUCUGAAUAUAGUUCCUUCAAUAAGUCGAGUAGUUUGGGAAUGCUGCUCUAAAUGGGAGGUAAAUUUCUUCUAAAGUUAAAUAUUUGCCAGAAACCGAUAGCGUACAAGUAGAGUGAUCGAAAGAUGAAAAGUACUUUGAAAAGAGAGUUAAAAGUAUGUGAAAUUGUUAAAAGGGAAGCAUUUGUGAUCAGAUUUAUAUUAUAUUGCUUAACUUUAGUUUUCUAAAAGGGAGUCAGAAUAAUAUAAGCUAGCAUUAAUUUUUUAUGGGAGAGAAAAGUUUUAGAAAUGUAGUUUCUUUAGAAAUGUUUAGUCUAGAACAGAAUGUUCCAAAGAAGAUUGAGGAAUGCACUAUGUGAGGAUGCUGGCGUAAUGAUUAUUAAUAACCCGC